UGAAAUAUGUGGAGAAUGGAUGGUGGCCAUAUACUGAAGGAUCUCUUGUAUGGAAAACUCUUUUCAGGAAGAAAAUCAGACACACUUCCUUAUCUCUGGUUCAAAGAUGCUUGCAAGAUGAAGCAAUGAACAUCAAACCAAAUGACUGGAAGAAGAUUGCUAAGGAUCGAAGCACUUAGAAAUAGUCUAUUAAGCAUGGAAUAAAGGCUUUUGAGGAAAGAGAAGCCCAAUGUGUGGAGGAAAGAAGAAACCUCAAGAAGAACCCUGCACCACAUUCAGGAUUGUUCAAUGUGAAUUUCAAAAGGUUCGAUGUCUUCCCACUCUCGGCUGGCCAUAUCUGGGAUCCAGUGCUCCAUCUCCAUGCGGCGUUUUCUUUCCUGCAUCCCUGUUCUGGCUGCACUUCUGGUCUCUGGCAGUGUCCUCUCUCGGGUUUGACAUCGUCCCACUCCCAGCUGGCCAUAUCCGGGAUCCAGUGCUCCGUCUCCGGAACUUCUUCUAGGAGCUGGCUGUAGUCUAUAGCCUUCUCUCACCAGUUAGAUUAUUGUACUAAAGCAAUUGUGUCCUGAGCUCUGCAGUGUGGGAUGUUGAAGUGAUAGCACACACCCAAGGCAGCAGAACCACAAGUAGUUGAAGACAGAUGCUAGGAUCACAGCAGGAGCUGCAGCAGCCAUACCAGUAGCAUGUGAGGAUGCCUCUCUCCAGACCAUUUGGAUUUAGAGGGUGAGAAAUGGAGACUACUUUUCAAUUGCUCUGAUGAUCUUCAAAUCACAGUUCAUAGAAAGAGCUUUCUUGGAUUAUUAAAGUGGCUGAGACAUGUCGAUGGACUAAGGCAUGCAGUAGUCGACUGAAAAGGUCAGAAAAGCACCUGUACUCUGAUAUUGUACUAAUUCUGAGGGCUCCAUUCAGCAAAACCCACCAAAGGAGAAACACUUCUCUAAUGAAAUAGUAAAUGUAUUAAUUAAUGCUUUAAAUGGGCUUAGUAACACCGCAUUUUCUCUAGAUUUUUUAAAUAUUUCCCAUAAAAGUACAAACUAGUAACAAUACUGACUUCAUUCCCGUACCCAGGGGAAUAUGCCCUACCUGGGUUCCAUGCAUCUUGGGUUUCAAAGUACAGAGCAAGCGGAAAUACUCAUCUUCAUACUCUCACCUAAGAGCAGAUAUUGGGAAAUGGGGACAGAAGGAUGGGAAGGUUUAUGAGCCUUGACUUUAUGACCUCUACUCAAGGGCCAGACUGGUGAUAUAGCUCAGCAGCAUGAUACUAUCCCCAAGAAGCUGAGAGGAAGGAUGGGAGCUAUUGUGACUCAGGUGUUUCUUUGAACCCUAAUUCCUCUUGCAUCUUAUAUAACUCCUCAAGAAGUUAUGCUGGGCUGUGCCCAGUAUCACAGUCUUGCCCAAGAAGAGUAAGAACUUGUAUUAGAGCUAUUGUGGGUCAAACUGUGAUCCCCUUCUUCACUCUGAAUAGUAACUUACUCUCUAGGAAAGUACAGUAGAAUAACUUACUCUACAGGAAAUCCAGUGAAGUCACUGGGUGAAUAUCUUAACCCUAUGGAAAUCAAAAGAGAUAUCGUCUUUGAUUUCUGGGGGGGAAUCCAGAUUUCACUGAAUUUGGAGUAGAGUGCAGCCCAAUGUAAGGAAAGGGUGUCAGAGCAUGGCCCCACAUUUUUGAUUUUCAAUAACAUGCCUGACAGUGUCUCACUUGUUUUCAUGUCAUUCCAAAAGAAAGGCAAAUCAAGGCUUAGGUUAUUUUUAU